rnacentral:lncRNA from 1 species
CCAGUGUUGAGGAGAAGCAAGGCAAGCCACUCUGGGUCGUGGCCCUUGCUACAUCUCAGUCCAGGCGAGGCAUCCAGCUCGAGAAGCUAGUUGCUAGGAAGUCACGCUGGACCAGGAAUCCACGGUUGCUGAAGAACACUUUGGAAUGUCCCCAGCAUCUUGCAAAGCCCUUCACUUCUGGAAUUUUGGGGACACCGGAACCUUGCCAAGGGAAGCAGUCUUGAAG